UACGAAGGGGGCUAGCGUUGUUCGGAAUCACUGGGCGUAAAGCGCACGUAGGCGGAUUUGUAAGUCAGGGGUGAAAUCCCGGGGCUCAACCUCGGAACUGCCUUUGAUACUGCAAGUCUUGAGUUCGGGAGAGGUGAGUGGAAUUCCUAGUGUAGAGGUGAAAUUCGUAGAUAUUAGGAAGAACACCAGUGGCGAAGGCGGCUCACUGGCCCGAUACUGACGCUGAGGUGAGAAAGCGUGGGGAGCAAACAGG
rnacentral:rRNA from 1 species